rnacentral:rRNA from 1 species
UGGGGAAUAUUGGACAAUGGGCGAAAGCCUGAUCCAGCCAUGCCGCGUGUGUGAAGAAGGUCUUCGGAUUGUAAAGCACUUUAAGUUGGGAGGAAGGGCAGUAAGUUAAUACCUUGCUGUUUUGACGUUACCGACAGAAUAAGCACCGGCUAACUCUGUACCAG